GUAAUAGUCUGGUAACGGAAGCCGGCCGGUAGGGAGGGUAACUACUGGAAACGGUAGCUAAUACCGCAUAACGUCGCAAGACCAAAGAGGGGGACCUUCGGGGCCUCUUGCCACCGGAUGUGCCCAGAUGGGAUUAGCUUGUUGGUGAGGUAACGGCUCACCAAGGCGACGAUCCCUAGCUGGUCUGAGAGGAUGACCAGCCACACUGGAACUGAGACACGGUCCAGACUCCUACGGGAGGCAGCAG
rnacentral:rRNA from 1 species